GUGAGGAAUAUUGGUCAAUGGGCGGGAGCCUGAACCAGCCAAGUCGCGUGAAGGAAGAAGGAUCUAUGGUUCGUAAACUUCUUUUGCAGGGGAAUAAAGUGCGGGACGUGUCCUGUUUUGUAUGUACCCUGAGAAUAAGGAUCGGCUAACUCCGUGCCAGCAGCCGCGGUAAUACGGAGGAUCCGAGCGUUAUCCGGAUUUAUGGGGUUUAAAGGGUGCGUAGGAGGUUUGAUAAGUCAGCGGUGAAAGUUUGCAGCUUAACUGUAAAAAUGCCGUUGAAACUGUCGGACUUGAGUGUAAAUGAGGUAGGCGGAAUGCGUGGUGUAGCGGUGAAAUGCAUAGAUAUCACGCAGAACUCCGAUUGCGAAGGCAGCUUACUAAGCUACAACUGACACUGAAGCACGAAAGCGUGGGGAUCAAACAGGAUUAGAUACCCCGGUAGUCC
rnacentral:rRNA from 1 species